rnacentral:rRNA from 1 species
UGGGGAAUUUUGGACAAUGGGCGCAACCUGAUCCAGCAAUGCCGCGUGAGUGAAGAAGGCCUUCGGGUUGUAAAGCUCUUUUGUCAGGGAAGAAAAGGUAUCUCCUAAUACGGGGUGCUCAUGACGGUACCUGAAGAAUAAGCACCGGCUAACUACGUGCCAGCAGCCGCGGUAAUACGUAGGGUGCAAGCGUUAAUCGGAAUUACUGGGCGUAAAGCGUGCGCAGGCGGUUAUAUAAGUCAGAUGUGAAAUCCCCGGGCUCAACCUGGGAACUGCAUUUGAGACUGUAUGGCUAGAGUGUGUCAGAGGGGGGUAGAAUUCCACGUGUAGCAGUGAAAUGCGUAGAUAUGUGGAGGAAUACCGAUGGCGAAGGCAGCCCCCUGGGAUAACACUGACGCUCAUGCACGAAAGCGUGGGGAGCAAACAGGAUUAGAUACCCUGGUAGUCCACGCCCUAAACGAUGUCUACUAGUUGUUGGGUCUUAAUUGACUUAGUAACGCAGCUAACGCGUGAAGUAGACCGCCUGGGGAGUACGUCGCAAGAUUA